UCGAAACUGAUUGACUGAAAAUAAAUGUUUGUAGAGAGAAAUUUAGAUAUAUUUUGGAGAUUUUUCUGCUGAAUAAUUUUAAACCAUUUUUCAAGCAGAGCGCUUAUAAUUUGAAAUAUUCUUUAGAAACAGUUUAUUGGUUGUUUUUUCACAAGAAAUCUGUGGAGAAAAAUAAAACAAACGAAAGACAGAAAAUAUUAAUCGUGAGGCUCUUUUGGAAGAGAAGAAUAUGUUACAGUGAAGAAUAACUUCUUUAACAUAAAAAAAAAAAAUUGAGAAAAAUGAGGACGAAUUUAAUUACACCGAAGUUGGAAUAAAAUAUUUUAGUUUCUCUUUUUUUUUUUAAAAAAAAAAACUUUACUUUCAAGGGAAAUAACUUUAAAAUACUAUUUACUAUUUUUACUAUUAUCUCCCUUGAUUGCUCAUAACCCAUUCGCGACAUUCCCACGUGUUUGUAGAAGACAGCCUGGACAUUUCUGAAGACUUUUGCAGCAUUUUCUACUGAUUGUUCACUAAGAAACUCUGCCGAAGAUUUAAUCCUCAUUUUGUACAAAUUUGUUCUGGAAACCGAUUUGACUUACCACAUAGCCUCACCUGUGCCUGUGAUAUGAAAAUUUUUUUAAAAAGAAACUCCGAUGACCCUAAUGGAGAAAGUUAUAUUUUUUUAUGUUUUUGUAAAUAAUAAAAAAUAGAUUUAAAAGAAAA